CAGGGGAAGCAGCAGAAGACGGCGGGAGAGUAAAGGAAGGAGAAAGGAGACAAAGGCAGAGAAAGGGAGAGCAGGGACAAAGAAGGAUGGACAAGGCUCCGUGGUGAACGCGCUGCCUCCCGCCUGGUUAGACACUAUCUAAAUCUGCUCUCCCCGGAGCCGGAGCCGGGAAUGGGGAAUGGAGAGACGCUGAAUUAGCGCUUAAGAUUUCUUGCUCCCGCGUUGUGCUGGAAUGUCUGGCGUAUUCGUUUCCACAGGAAACGCGAGGCAUGAAUAUGGAUGAAAUUCCUCACUGAGACCACAAGGGAAGAGCAUGAGUUUUGAGUCCGAGAGCUCUGGGUUUCCAGAAGGAGCCGUUUUCCCAUGCCCCACUCACACGAUCCUGGAAAAGGAGAGCAACCCGAGAUGCCCCAGGUUAGGGACAGGCCUGUGUGACCUUGUGUUUCAACAAAUGGAUCACAAACAAUGCAACCUGCACCUCUCCGGCCUUCCCCACCCAGUCGGAGUUCUCCGCUCCACAUCAUCGCCUCUCCCGCUGAAAGUUCCAAGUUCUGAUCUCCCCUUCCCUACCUCUUUUCUUGACGUCUCUGGAACAAGCUAUCUGAAAGGAGAAAUAGUCACAUCACAAUUUUUUUUUUCUGGGCUCAUGUGAAUAUUGUUUCAGGGACAAGAAGAAAAAAAAAUUUGUCUUCUCUAUUUCCUUAAGAAGGUCAGCAAGAUGGAACAGUUGCAUUUCAUAUGCAGCCUCUCGAAGGACAUUCAUUUUCUCCAGCAGAGCCCCAGGGUGGACAAGGAGGGCCAGCUGUGUGCAGCGUCUGUUGUGUACAGCAUUCAGGACAAUGUCCUCUUGGAUCCCGAGCUCUCCACACAGACAGAGCAGAUAAAGGAAGGUCCCUCUCCUGGUCUUCCUUCCAGGGAGGCUGUUGCUGAGAGAGGUUAAGGGACCUCCCAGAGUCCUCCUCAGGUGGGAGCGGAAGGUUGGCAUUGCUGACCUCCCAUAAGCUUUUACCUGAACUUGGGCUCUGCCUGUCUUUGUUCUGAGGAAUGAGACUGCAAAGAAGCUCCCGAUCUGAAAAGGUGGCAUUUGCUAAGUUAGAAAAUGGAAGUACCACCCAGUCUGGGGGAUCCCAUAGGCACCCAAGAGUGCACCAAGCCACUAGGACCAAGCUCACCUGAGAGUCCCACCCUGCUCGGAAUAUGCAGACUUGGUGUCCUGUCGCUUUAAAGCACUCCAUGCCUGGAAAUGCCACGGCCCACAUGGAAUGGGCACAGCCAACAACUCUCCAAGGAGCCCCAGCAAUGAAUGAUGAGCAUCUCCCCUGAACCCAUCUCCCCAUGUCCGGUGUUUAAAGUGAAUUGAAAUGAAUAUCUGAUAAAUGAAUAAACCUGUAAAUGGAAUCAAAAACCUUAUGAACUUGAAGGAGAAAUAGGAGUCCCAGGUCUGUUAAGUCUAAAUUGAAUAAAUCUGAUCAACUGCCUGACAAUUUCUGCCAACAGCUUUUGAAGAGGAAGAAAAGGGGUGAGCAGAGAAAUUGGGUAGAGGAGAGGGAAGAGCGAGUGGGGUAGGGGAGGCAGGCAUGACUCAGUAAUGAAGCUAUCACCAGGAGUCCCCAGUGUUCCUUACCUGGACUAAUAAAUGGAUGACAAUAGGAGUUCCUUGCAAGUCUGUCUGCUCCUGUGUGUCUGCCCAGAGGACACCUCUAGAGAAUGAGAGAUUUGCAUAAAAUGGGGCCAAAGUCUCCUUUUGGGCCUUGCUGGACAAGGAGCUGAGGAAGAACUCUGGAGUCCUGGAAUCAGCUACUGGGCCUAGAUGAUCUCACCUGCUAGGAUGGGUCUGUAUGUUUGGGUAGCUUGAGCUGGAGGCAGGGAGGUCACAUUGAGGAUGCGCUCAAUGGCUCUCGAUUUGGCCUCUGCCACUCUUUGUUCUGUUGGGUAACUUACUUCCUGCAGUGGUUUUAAACAUGGCCACAGACUUCUUUAACACUCAUCUUAGUGAGAGGUGGUGGUGGUGGAUCUGUGUCUUCUUCUCUUGAAUCUAGGUGGCUUUGUGACUCCACUAAUACAGAACAGUGGCAUUGAUGCUGUCUGACUUUCCAGGCUGGGCUGGAAAAGGUUGUGCAACUUCUGCCUGAGUUUCUUGGGACACUGUCAUUGGGGGAAAACAGCCCCUAUGUAGGAAAUCCAAUUGCCCUGAGAGUGCCAUGCUGGAGAGGUGUUCCUGUUCAAGGCCAUGCCCCACUGAGCUCCCGGCCAGUGGCCAGGCUGGCCGUGGGGAAUGAACCCCGUGAGCCACUCAGUCUCGCCCAGCCUUCAGAUGACUGCAGUUCCAGCCCAUGUGUGACUGCAGCAGCUAAGUCACAGCUGCCUCGUCAAACUCUCCCCAAAUUUUUGACCUGCAAAAGUACAAACGCUAUAAAAUUAUUGUUUUAAGCUACUAAUUCAGGAGUAAUUUGUUAAUAGCAACCAAAACACACCCCUUCUUGGGUUUCAAUUUUUUUUCUGAACCAUGAAGGGUUAGACUAGAUAAUUUUUAAAACCAUACUUUGAAAGUUUUAAAUAGUAGAUGAACUUUUUUCAAUUGUUUUUAUUGUAGUAAAAUAUACAUAAAAUUUACCAUCUUAAACAUUUUUAAGUGUACGGUUCAGUGGUAUUAAAUAUAUUCACAAUGUUGUGUAACCAUCAUCACCAUCCAUCUCCGUAACUCAUUUCGUCCUGCAAAACUGAAACUCUGUACACAUUAAACAAUAACUCCGUCUUCCCCUUUCUCCUCCAGCCCCUGACAUCCACCAUUCUACUUUCUGCCUCUAUGAUUUAGACUACUCUAGGUAUCUCACAUAAGUGGAAUCAUACAAUGUUUGCCUUUUGGGCCUGGUUUAUUUCACUCAGCAUAAUGUUUUCAUGGUUCAUCCAGGUUGUAGUAUGUACCAGGAUUUCUUUCCUUUUUAAGACUGGAUAAUAUUUCAUUGUAUGUAUAUACAACAUUUUGCUUAUCCAUUCAUUUGUUGAUAGACACUUUUGUUUUUGCCAUGUUUUAGCUAUUGUGCAUUAAUGCUGGUGUGAACAGGAGUGUACAAAUGGAAAGAACCUGCUUCCAAUUAUGUCAAAUAGAUACCCAGAAGUGGAAUUGCUGAUUUACAUGGUAAUUUUAUUUUUAAUUUUUUGAGAAACCACCACACCGUUUUUCACAGUGGCUGUCCCAUUUUUGCAUUCCUGCCACCAGUGUACAAGGAUUCCAGUUCCCCACACCCUCAUCAACACUUGUUAUAUAUAUAUUUUUACAAUAGCCAUGAUAAUGGAUAUGAAGAGGUGUCCCAUUGUUGCUUUGAUUCACAUUUCUCUAAUGAUUAGUGAUGCUGGACAUCUUUUCAAAGCAUGUUUUUUUUAAAAAAGGAGUUCAAACAUCAUAAAAGGAUAACAGAAAUUAAACAGUUUUCUUCCCUACUCCUGAGUUCUUCUCACCACUGAGAGGUAACUAACUUUAACAUAUGACUGAUUCUUCCAGAAAUGCUUGUUGUGAUUACAACAUAAUUAUAUCUUUAUAAAAUUACACAUAGAAUUAUAUCAUAGUUAAUUUUUGUAAUUUCCUUUUUUUCCACUUACUGAUACAGAUUGGAGAUAUUUCCAUACCAGUAUACAUAGGUCUACUUCAUUCUUAAUAUCUGCAUAAUUCCAUGGCAUGGCUUGGUCAACGUUUACUUCUCUAGUCACUGUUGAUGGGUAUUUCAGUUGCUUCUAGGUUGUUUGGUUGGUAUUUUUUGCUACUGUAAUAAUACUGCAUUGACUAUUAUUGUAUACUUGUUUAUGCUUUUGUAGGUCAAAUUCCUAGAAGUACAGUUUCUGGGUCAAAGGAUAUGCAUUGACAAUUUUGAUAAUUAUUGCCAAAUUUGUCUUUUAAAGAGGUGGCACAUAUUUAUACCACCACAAUGAGGAAGCUAGUAUCCUGCUACCUUUAUUAUCUUUCAGGUUUUGUCAUCUGCUGGAAGAAAAUAAUAUUCUGUUUUCAAGUUUUCAUUUCUUUAAUUGUGAAGUUGAGCAUUUUUAUAUGCACUUUGAUGAUUUUUUAUACAAAAUUUCAAUCAUGCAAAAGUAGAGAGACUAUAUCAUGAACUCCCAUAAGUAGAUCACCCCAAGUCAACUGUCAUUAUGGGUUUACCACUUGUUUCAAGAUUGAUGAUUUUUAAUUUCUAUUUUUCAUUGAAUAGCUAAUUUAUAUCCUUUGCCAAUUCUAUAGGGCUGUUCAUAUUUUGUUUUUUUUUAAAUGGUUUGUCGGAGCUUUUCUUAUCAUAACAAAUUAACUUUUUGCCAUUAUAUGUUACAAAUAUUUUUCCUAUUAAACUUGUGUUUUGAUAUUAUUAAAGGUCUUUUUGUACAGAAGCAAUUUUACUUUUUAUAUCAAAUUUAUCAAUCUUUUAAAAAGAUUUGUAGUUUUGUGUUUUCAAUGAUCUUCUCUACUCCAGGAAUAUAAAAUAAAAUAAUAAAAUAAA
rnacentral:lncRNA from 1 species